AAGAAAUAGCUAAUACCGCCAUGAUAUAUCGGAACCACAUGGUUCUGAUAUCAAAGAUUUUAUCGCUUGAAGAUGGACUCGCGUCCGAUUAGUUAGUUGGUGAGGUAACGGCUCACCAAGACCGCGAUCGGUAGCCGGACUGAGAGGUUGAACGGCCACAUUGGGACUGAGACACGGCCCAGACUCCUACGGGAGGCAGCAUG
rnacentral:rRNA from 1 species